rnacentral:rRNA from 1 species
UACGGGGGGGGCAAGCGUUGUUCGGAAUUACUGGGCGUAAAGGGCUCGUAGGCGGCCAACUAAGUCGGAUGUGAAAUCCCCAGGCUUAACCUGGGAACUGCAUCCGAUACUGGAUGGCUUGAAUCCGGGAGAGGGAUGCGGAAUUCCAGGUGUAGCGGUGAAAUUCGUAGAUAUCUGGAGGAAUACCGGUGGCGAAGGCGGCCAUCUGGGCCACCCUUGACGCUGAGACGCGAAAGCGUGGGUAGCAAACAGG